CCUACGGGUGGCUGCAGUGGGGAAUAUUGCACAAUGGGCGCAAGCCUGAUGCAGCCAUGCCGCGUGUGUGAAGAAGGCCUUCGGGUUGUAAAGCACUUUCAGCGGGGAGGAAGGCGUUAAGGUUAAUAACCUUGGCGAUUGACGUUACCCGCAGAAGAAGCACCGGCUAACUCCGUGCCAGCAGCCGCGGUAAUACGGAGGGUGCAAGCGUUAAUCGGAAUUACUGGGCGUAAAGCGCACGCAGGCGGUCUGUCAAGUCGGAUGUGAAAUCCCCGGGCUCAACCUGGGAACUGCAUUCGAAACUGGCAGGCUAGAGUCUUGUAGAGGGGGGUAGAAUUCCAGGUGCAGCGGUGAAAUGCGUAGAGAUCUGGAGGAAUACCGGUGGCGAAGGCGGCCCCCUGGACAAAGACUGACGCUCAGGUGCGAAAGCGUGGGGAGCAAACAGGAUUAGAUACCCCGGUAGUC
rnacentral:rRNA from 1 species